UACGUAGGGCGCAAGCGUUAUCCGGAAUUAUUGGGCGUAAAGAGCUCGUAGGCGGUUUGUCGCGUCUGCCGUGAAAGUCCGGGGCUCAACUCCGGAUCUGCGGUGGGUACGGGCAGACUAGAGUCCAGUAGGGGAGCGUGGAAUUCCUGGUGUAGCGGUGAAAUGCGCAGAUAUCAGGAGGAACACCAGCGGCGAAGGCGGCGCUCUGGGCUGGCACUGACGCUGAGGAGCGAAAGCGUGGGUAGCGAACAGG
rnacentral:rRNA from 1 species